AACCUGCCCAAGAGAUCGGGAUAACACCUGGAAACAGAUGCUAAUACCGGAUAAUAACAGAUGAUGCCUAUCAACUGUUUAAAAGAUGGUUCUGCUAUCACUCUUGGAUGGACCUGCGGUGCAUUAGCUAGUUGGUAGGGUAACGGCCUACCAAGGCGAUGAUGCAUAGCCGAGUUGAGAGACUGAUCGGCCACAUUGGGACUGAGACACGGCCCAAACUCCUACGGGAGGCAGCAGCC
rnacentral:rRNA from 1 species